CACGUAGUUAGCCGUGGCUUUCUGAUUAGGUACCGUCAAGACGUGCACAGUUACUUACACAUUUGUUCUUCCCUAAUAACAGAGUUUUACGAUCCGAAGACCUUCAUCACUCACGCGGCGUUGCUCCGUCGGGCUUUCGCCCAUUGCGGAAGAUUCCCUACUGCUGCCUCCCGUAGGAGUCUGGACCGUGUCUCAGUUCCAGUGUGGCCGAUCACCCUCUCAGGUCGGCUACGUAUCGUUGCCUUGGUAAGCCAUUACCCCACCAACUAGCUAAUACGGCGCGGGUCCAUCUAUAAGUGAUAGCAAAACCAUCUUUCACUUUAGAACCAUGCGGUUCUAAAUAUUAUCCGGCAUUAGCCCCGGUUUCCCGGAGUUAUUCCAGUCUUAUAGGUAGGUUACCCACGUGUUACUCACCCGUCCGCCGCUAACGUCAAAGGAGCAAGCUCCUUAUCUGUUCGCUCGACUUGCAUGUAUUAGGCACGCCGCCAGCGUUCAUCCUGAGCCAGGAUCAAACUCU
rnacentral:rRNA from 1 species